ensembl:lncRNA
CGAGUCUCGGCCCUGGGAAGGACCAUUUUUAAAGACUCAUCUCUUGAAAUUGGAGCGAGCAUUUAGCAGUUUUCAUGCAAAUUUCCUGCAAUUCUACACAUUUUGCCAUUAGGGUAGAGAGAACUUAGCCGUUUUAAAGCUUACAUCUCAGUAAAUACAGUAUAUCACAAAAGUGAGUACACCCCUCACAUUUUUGUAAAUAUUUGAGUAUAUCUUUUCAUGUGACAACACUGAAGAAAUGACACUUUGCUACAAUGUAAAGUAGUGAGUGUACAGCUUGUAUAACAUAGUAAAUUUUCUGUCCCCAGAGUAGCAGGUAGGAGAGACACUCUGACUCUGUACCACACAGAGUAGCAGGUAGGAGAGACACUCUGGCUCUGUACCACACAGAGUAGCAGGUAGGGGGGGAGACACUCUGACUCUGUACCACACAGAGUAGCAGGUAGGGGAGACACUCUGACUCUGUACCACACAGAGUAGCAGGUAGGGGGGGAGACACUCUGUUGCCAAAUGUUGCAGAUAAAAACAACAAGAUUCGUUGUUCUGCAUGUUUGUUCUACGUAACAUAUUUCUAUCUGAAUGUUCCAAAACGUUUUGUGUCCUGCUGAACUCGCCCCAGGCCUCACUCUUCCUCCUUCCUCUCUCUCUUCUUCCUCUCUCUCUUCUUGCUCUCUCU